AUGAUACAGUACAUUGCAUCAACAAGCUCAACAUGUUCGCUAAAAUCUUCGCCCUGUUCGCUCUGGUAGCCGUGGCUCUGGCCGCGCCUAAGCCGGCGCCGGCGCCGCAGCAACUGCUGACGUACUCGUCGGGGCUGGACUACGUGUACCCGUCGGGCUACGCCGCGCCCGCCGUCGUCUCGCCCUACGCUGCCGCCCCGCUCGCCUACUCCGCCCUGCCCAAUGCUUACUACUACCGUUAAAUGAUACCGAUCUGUGAUUGAAGAUAUUGAUGUAAACCUUCCAACCGCCAUUUGAUUAGGAUUUAAAUAAAGCAUUCUCAAAAA